rnacentral:tRNA from 2 species
GCGGGAGUAGCUCAGUGGUAGAGCUCCACGUUGCCAACGUGGUUGUCGCGAGUUCGACCCUCGUCUCCCGCU